rnacentral:lncRNA from 1 species
AAAAAGAGUUCUCAUGUGCUGGCAGCACGGGACGUCAGGCAUGCUGGGGCUUUUGCAGCCCUUCUUCCUUGAAAGCUUGGCAUUGUCAGACGCAUGGUCUCUGGUUGUCAGGGUGAAGAUGUGAAGAGCAGACUCGCUCCCUGUCCUCUUUAGGGGGAGAUGGAAGGUGGGCGGGCCUUUGGGUGUCAUGGCAACAUGUGGCACAGGCUUUGUUUGGUGCCCAGCAUUGUCCCCCCAGGGUGACUGAUGUUUUAAAAUUAGGUAAGUUGCCAUGAUGUUAUUGAAUUUUUUUUCACGUAAAGACUCUCGGAUGUCCUUGGCACUGUAACCCAUAGCCCACAUAGCCACUACAAUGCUGGGGGCUGGGUUGCUAGGGCAUGCCUCCAAAGAAGAUGCCAGUUUGGAAAGGUCUUCACCACCCCUGAGCCACCGGUGCUGCAUAAUGUCACAGAUCUUGGGCCUCUGGUCUGGGUCCACGGUGAACAACUGCACGAUGAGGUUUGCAAUGUGUGGCGAGAGCAUGGGUGGGAUGGAGUACUUGGGGUUCAGCAUCUUCUCCUUCAUCUGGGAAUAGGUCUUUGCCUCAAAAGGGAAGCGCCCUGUCACCAUCGUGUACAAAACCACCCCCAAGCUCCAGAUGUCGUUUGCCUGCGCGUCGUAUUCCACGUCAGUGAAAAUCUCCGGAGCACAAUACUCCAGGGUGCCGCAGAACCCCUUGAACCUCUGCCCGGAUGUGACUUUGAUGGCCAGGCCAAAGUCACACAGCUUGACACUCCCUCUGCCAUCCAGCAGGAUGUUGUCCGGUUUGAUGUCCCUGUGUGCGAUGCUGUUCUCGUGGCAGUAGUUGACGGCACACACCAUCUGUGUGAAGAUGCGGUGGGUCUCUUCCUCCUGCAGACAGCCCACCUUCUCGAUGUGGCUCACCAGGUCUCCCCCAGCAGCGUGCUCCAUCACCAUGACCUUGACAGCAACCCAAACCCCUGUGUGGAGGUGGCAGGCCAGCUUCACCUCAGCAAAACUGCCUUUGCCCAGGGUCCUGAGGAUCAUGUAAUGAUCGGUGAGGGUCACCUCUUCAGGGGGGCUGGCCUCCAGCUCUAGCUGCAUCGUCACCUCCUCCCUUCCCUUGCCUGCAAGUUGCUUGGGGAUUUUGCUGACAACACUUGAUAAGGAC